AAUGAUUUGCCUGAUUAAAGGAUUAUUUUGAUAGAAUAAAUUAUAUGAUUUUUUCAUAUUCAUUA
rnacentral:tRNA from 1 species